AAAUGAAAGAUGGAGACAAUAAGAACGUCCUAAACACUGCAUUGCAUUUUGCAGUUAGUAUGAAAAAAAGAUUGGAUUCAGGUCAAACGGCACAUGAUGGCCCGUAUUUUUUAAAGGUCAACUGGCACGUGAUGGCCCGUAUGAGGUACAACUAACUAUACUAGUGGAGGUUUAUGAGUUGGAUAUACUCCUAUUCUCUUGGUGAUGAACAAAUGAAAGACGGAGACAAUAAGAACGUCCUAAACACUGCAUUGCAUCUUGAAGUUAGUAUGAAAAAAAGAUUGGAUUCAGGUCAAACGGCACAUGAUGGCCCGUAUUUUUUAAAGGUA